rnacentral:rRNA from 1 species
UACAGAGGGGGCAAGCGUUAUUCGGAAUUAUUGGGCGUAAAGGGCGCGUAGGCGGCUUUGCAAGUGACGGGUGAAAUCCCUCGGCUUAACCGAGGAACUGCCUGUCAGACUGCAUGGCUUGAGACCGGGAGAGGUGAGUGGAAUUCCCAGUGUAGCGGUGAAAUGCGUAGAUAUUGGGAGGAACACCAGUGGCGAAGGCGGCUCACUGGACCGGUACUGACGCUGAAGCGCGAAAAGCGUGGGGAGCAAACGGGG